rnacentral:rRNA from 1 species
UAGCGACAGGCCUAACACAUGCAAGUCGAGGGGCAGCACAAGGAGCAAUCUGAGGUGGCGACCGGCGCACGGGUGAGUAACACGUAUGCAACCUGCCUGUAAGCGGGGGAUAACCCGUGAAAGACGGACUAAUACCGCAUAAUACUAAAUUACUGCAUGGUAAUUUAUUUAAACAUUUAUGGCUUACAGAUGGGCAUGCGCAUGAUUAGCUAGUUGGAGAGGUAACGGCUCCCCAAGGCAACGAUCAUUAGGGGUUCUGAGAGGAAGGUCCCCCACACUGGUACUGAGACACGGACCAGACUCCUACGGGAGGCAGCAGUGAGGAAUAUUGGUCAAUGGACGAGAGUCUGAACCAGCCAAGUCGCGUGCAGGAAGAAUGUUCCCUAUGGAUUGUAAACUGCUUUUGCAGGGGAAUAAAGUGCAUCACGUGUGAUGUUUUGUAUGUACUCUGCGAAUAAGGAUCGGCUAACUCCGUGCCAGCAGCGGC